CUGACUGGCUCGUUUUGCCCGGGGGUUUCGACGUACUCUCGAUAGAGCGAGCGUCUUCCACCCCAAAUUGAGUUCCUGGCGGGUAGUCCAAGUGAGAACCUGUGCCCCUUUCGAGGGGGUCAGCUGUAGCCCGGAGGCGUUCUCAUAAAGCGGGAUCGACGUGGUCGGGGAUACCAGUCUCAUUCGAUAGAGACCGGCGGCUCGAUGCCUCCCGUCGGGGGGAUUCCUCUCGACUGUCUCGACCCUACCUUGAACAUCGCCAGCGAGUCCUCGAGGCGG
rnacentral:lncRNA from 1 species